AGUGAACGCUGGCGGUAGGCCUAACACAUGCAAGUCGAACGGCAGCACAGUAAGAGCUUGCUCUUACGGGUGGCGAGUGGCGGACGGGUUAGGAAUACAUCGGAAUCUACUUUUUCGUGGGGGAUAACGUAGGGAAACUUACGCUAAUACCGCAUACGACCUACGGGUGAAAGCAGGGGAUCUUCGGACCUUGCGCGAUUGAAUGAGCCGAUGUCGGAUUAGCUAGUUGGCGGGGUAAAGGCCCACCAAGGCGACGAUCCGUAGCUGGUCUGAGAGGAUGAUCAGCCACACUGGAACUGAGACACGGUCCAGACUCCUACGGGAGGCAGCAGUGGGGAAUAUUGGACAAUGGGCGAAAGCCUGAUCCAGCCAUACCGCGUGGGUGAAGAAGGCCUUCGGGUUGUAAAGCCCUUUUGUUGGGAAAGAAAAGCAGCAGGUUAAUACCCCGCUGUUCUGACGGUACCCAAAGAAUAAGCACCGGCUAACUUCGUG
rnacentral:rRNA from 1 species